UUAUCACUUAUUCCAAAUUCCAAGCAAGAAAAAUCCUCUCUCACUCACUUCAGAACUGGGAAUUCUAGCCUCGAUUUCUCCUCCAAAAUCAAUCUUUCUUCAUAAAUCCAAACAAACCAACCUCUCAUCCUCCAAAUCCGACGCAUUUGCACCCAAAGAAACAAUUGCAAGACCCAUAAAAUUUUCCAUCCCGCAAUGCUCUCUCUUUACCAAACUGGGCUAUUCACGUUUCUAGUGUUGUUGAAUGGUAUGAUGCUAUACAUAUGUGAAUUUUUUAUAUAUAAUAUCUGAUUGUAGUACCAUGGUCCCAAUCUCACACUGCCAAACGUGUACCCUAAAUGUCUAUUAAUGGGCUUGCUAUGUUGUUAAAAAAUGGAUUUUGAUUAGUUUAUUUUUAUCGAAGGAUUACUGCAACGGCUUUGGUUUAGCAGUAUGGGGAGAACUCUGGUUUGAAUCUUGGAAGUGUCUCUCUUGGGGCAUGGUGAGAGAUGCUUCUCUUUCUCUUAAAAUUGUUGAGGGUUUUGAAGCUAUGGUGGUGGAGAUUGUAUUUUGCGCUUGUUGAACACAAGGGAAAAUUGCAGUUCUUGAUCUUUAGGCCUUCAAUUCCGUUAGAAGCAUUGCAUAUAUAAUUCUAAACUAGUUGGUUUCAAGGUGAAUGAUAAUGAAUAUGCUUAAUGAAAAUAUCUAUGGUAAUAUGAUUAUUCCAUAUUUUGUUGACAAGAAAGUAAACUAAUAGAAAGCAUUGCAGAGUUCAUUUUACAUAUUCUUGGCCUGAACUUCCCCCUUGAAUUUGGAAAUCGCUAUUGCUUUGGUUGUUGCAAAUAUAAGUCCAUAAAUUCAUCAAACCAGAGUUUUGAUCAUUUUCUCGUAAGAAUCCCUAGCAACUGCAACAUUACACUCCUAUCUUGGUUCUUUCAGCCUUUUUUAAUCCCUGUUUGGUAUAGAUUAAAAUCUUAUCACAAUUUCAAAUCAAAGUCAAUUAUUAAAUUUAAUCAAACAUUUCAUUGGACCCCCAACCUCUAGCGAUAUAUUUCAUCAACUUUUAUUAAAAAUCUACUAAAAAAUUGAUUUUAAUCUACACCAAGUAUGGUUAAGUAAUCUCCUGGGUAAUGACGGCAAAGCUGUAUAUUUAGUUAUUGUUUUGCAAGCUAUAUCCAGUUGAAUGUUAUUAACCUUUAUAAAAAAUAAAAUCUAGAUAUUUUUGCUUCACACAUUUGCAUAUUUACUUGUGAUUCAGCGUGGUAGGUAAAUAUGUGAAAUCUUUUCUCUCAUGUAUUAGAAUUUAAAAAGCUGCCUACUUGUUUAGGUUCCCUAGUUAGAAGGAGCAUUUUGCGCUUGUACAUAGCAUUUCUUUUACAAUUCAGAGGCCCUUGAGGUAAGAAGAUGCAAUUUUUAGUAGUUAGGCUACCGUCGGGCAACCAAUUUAUAAACCAUUUAUAAAUUGAGUCAAAAAUAAAAUUAAUUUCAAUUACAUAUUCAUAACUACCACUUAUUUAUUAUCUACACUUUUUGUGGAAUUCACCACUAUUCUUGUUUGUAAAUGAUUUUUAAAUUUGCCAAAUAGACAGUAAAAAAUUAAGUUUGAACACUGUGCUUGCUAUUGGGUGUUUUUUCUAGAUUAGGGUAUGUGUCAUUCAACUUUAUGGUUCUUGUUAGGUCUGAAAAAUUGUAAUUGGCAAUUCUGUAAGACAAAACGGACUUAAUUGUAAAAUUGUAAAAGUCAAGGACUCAAUUGAACAAUAUUGUAAAAGUCAGAGACUUAGGGUGCAAUUUCGUAAAGUUGGUUGGUAGGGACUAGGGUUUGAGUCUAAGGAUCGAAUAAAGAAUGCAGCGCCAGAAGUUCGCUAGCUUCUCGCCCUACCAUCGCUCGAGUGUAAAAAGCAAAAAGCUCGUCGCUCGCUUUUCACCCCAGUCUCUCUCGCUCGAGCGAAAAUCUAUCGCUCGCGCUUUCGUUGACUUGUCGCUCGAGCGACAAUGUUAUUCGAAAAUCCUAUUUCACAUUUUUUGAGAUUUUUACACGGCCCAAGACACAUAGUGACCGCAAGUAUAAAUAACACAAGUCUGGGAUGUGAGAGAUAGAUUGCCACUUUGUGUCUUCAUAGCAAAAACAUAAUCACAUCACUCUUGAGAGAUCUAAGGUGAAUUAACUGGAGAAUCCAUAAUUCUUAUGAUCUUGGCGAUCAAUAGCUGGGGAAAACAUCAUCCUUCCUAAAGACAAAACACCUGGUUGCUUAAUCUAUUAAAGAAUGGACUCUCUCAUUGGGGGAUUGAGAGAAGUGGACGACAAGUGCAGUGAAUUGGAUAAGAACAGGCGAUUAUUGAAAUUCCACUUGGUGGUACAACCAGUUAAAGACCAGGAGGUUGUAGUGGACAACAGAUUGGAUUACAGGAGGUAGAUCGAGAAGUCUAGUAGGAGGCUAGAAGCAUCACAGCAGUAGAUCGUGAGACUGGAAAAAUAGGUCUGAUUGGUUACGAAGUUUGGUAACUUGUUCUUGUUGAAUUGGUAUAGUGGAUAUCACUAGCUUGGUCUCGAAAUUUUACCUAUGUUGGGGUUUCUCCCUCAUCAUAUUGUCAGUUGUUGUGUUUAUUGUUUAUUUUACAUUACGCAAACCGACAGUUCAACCUUAGGAAUUAAUUGGACUGUAUGUUUAACGAUCUAGACAUUAAUUAAAGUGACUUGUUUCUUUGAUUAAUUAAUUCCGCACGUAAGGUCAAACAAAUUGUUAACUUGAAACGUAAACUUGGUAACACAUAAAUUAAAUUUGACGUAACAAAUCGUUCCUAGGGAAUUUUCAAGUGAUAUCAGAGCCUAAAAUCAUAUCCUGACCCUACAUAGUCUAGAUGAGUACCUCGUUGAAUGUACCUCCAAACUUUGAUAAUAGUAACUAUACGUAUUGGAAGGUCAGAAUGAGGGCAUUUUUGAAAUUCAUAGAUGAGCGUGUCUGGUAGAGCAUAGUGAAUGGUUGGUCUACCUCUAGUACCACAGUAGAUGGCGUAGUCACUCCUGCCCCCUAGAAAACUGGUCUAAAUUACAAUUAGAUAGCUGUAGCUUUAAUAGUAAAGCCAUACAUGCAUUGUUUAUGACUGUAUCCCCCGAAAAAUUUAGGAGAGUAUCUAUGUGUAAGGUAGCAAUAGAUGUUUAGGACAUUUUGCAAACCACACAUGAGGGAACUCAGGUCGUUAAAAAUUCUAAGUUACAGAUGCUGGCCAAUAGGUUCGAGGAAAUUAGGAUGAGAGAUGAUGAGACAUUUGAUAUCUUUUAUGCGAUCUUAAAUGACAUAGUGAACUCCUCUUUCAACCUAGGUGAGAAAAUUCAUGAGCCCAAGAUAGUUAGAAAAUUUUUUAGAUCUUUGCUCAAGCGUUUUAGGCCGAAAGUCACAGCUAUUUAGGAAAGUAAAGAUAUAGACACUAUCAAGGUAGAGGAGUUAGUCGGAUCCCUCCAGACCUAUGAGUUAACCUUAAACAAUCCUACUAAGAAAAAAUCCAUAACCUUGAAAUUCGCUAGGAAUAACCGGAUGGAAUCUUCUGAUUCGGAUUUACUCAAUGAUGAGGAGAUGGCUACCUGAGUGAAUCCAGGAGAAAAUCAAAAUCUGUGAGAUGCCAUAACUGUCGAGGUUUCGGUCACGUGAGGAGUAAGUGCCCUAGUGCUAGGAGAGUUGAAGAGAAGGCAAUGAAUACUACGAUCACUGAUGACAAGCCUAGCUCAGACAAUCAGAGUGAGAAAUCCGCACAUGAGGAGAGUGGAAAAUAUGUGGCCUUCGUUGCUAGGGUUAAAAGUGGAUCCGAACAGGGAAGUGAAAGGGAUGAGGAUCUAGGUGGUAGUGAGAAUUUGGUGAUGAGAGUGGAAGUGAGAAAGAUCUAGAAGAAGCUUAUGAAAAGAUAUAUGAAGAAAGUUUCGAGAUCAUAGCUACUAAUCAGGUGCUCAGCAAGAUAGUGAAGGAACUUAGGUUAGAGAAGGAAUAGUAAGAGGCUCGGGUUAGUGAUCUUACCAGUAAGAAUGAGUUAUCCUCUAGUAGAGUAAGUGAGCUAACCAUUGAGAAUGAGACCUUAGCUAUUCAGGUUAAGCACCUUGAGAGUGAGCUAGAGUUGUCUAGGUCUCAGAUUCUUACCUUUUCUAGUAGUUCUGAAAAGCUAGAAAAUAUUCUAGGAAUAGGCAAGCCAGCUAGUGAUAAGGAAGGUCUAGGUUUUGUUAGUAAUGCUGUUAGUACUUCACAGACCACUUUUGUUGUGCUAAUGCCAGCCUAACAUUGUGACUAACCCCACAUCUAAUGUUGUGGGAUCUUCAGGAUGUAGGUCUACCAGAUGUCGUAGGACCCGUCGACCUACGAAUAGAAAUUAGUGUCCAUAUAACACAGGUCCUAGGUUUAUCCUGACAUACUUUCAGUGUGGAGUGUUAGGUCACAUACACCCUAGAUGUCAUCACUACUUGAACAAUAGGAAAUGCUUGAACUUGAAAAAGGACAAAAAUCAGGUAUAUGUUUGUCAGAUUAGAUUCCUUGCUGAUCAAGUGAAUCAUUUGAUCCAAUUGGUGACACUAGCUGUCUGGAAACAAUUCCCGUUUUAGACAGGUUUGGGUGAAGAAGAGUGAUCUCCCGAAUUUGGCAGUAGUUCGUGGUGCUCUUAAAGGAAAGAGCACUUAUAUGCCUACUUGAUUAGGUAUUUUUUUUAUGCAUGCCUAGUUCUUGUUUGACAUAUGAUUGUUGCAUGCGUUACGUAUAUUGUGUUUAUCUUUUGUUUUAUUUUAUUUUAUUUCAUGCAUGUGCAUUUUCACUUGCUUGUUUUGGCACAUGCACAUUGAGUUUUGUCUUUGUGUGAUUGAAUUUAUUUUAUUAUGUGUGUAGAGCAUUUAUUUUAGAAAAAUGAAAAACACAAAAAUAUUGAAAAUUUGAAAAAGACCAGAGCAGUUGGUUGUGGAAAUUGCUACAGCAUGACACAUGACUUUUGAACUUGCACUUUGUGAUCAUGUAGGAGCUAAAAUUGAUAAGCUAUAGAAUAAUUUUCAUUUCUUGGUUAGGUCUAUUUGGAUUAAUUGUUAUAAGUGUCUUCAUGUACCAUCUGCACUGCACAUACUAUGAAUUUGUUAGUGGGACCCUACCGCGUGUGAGGUUUGGGAUGGUUGUCACAUGUUAAUAGGGUGAAUUUGAACAUGAAUUGACCAAUAUUAGUAGACCUAAACCCAAAAAUAUUCUUCCAUUUUAUAAAAGCUCAAUAUCUUAAUGUUCUUUUUCGGGGCCUAUUUAACUGAAACAAUUAAGCUUGCGGGAUCUCUAAAACCUGGUGUCUAUGGUCAACUGACUUGAGUUAAUCGGCUUAAAGCUCGCUACAGGGGUCAUCUUAGUCUCCUAAUGGAGAAAAACCUGUACUUAAGAUAAAAAAAAUUAAUGAGCUGGAAAAUGAGAAAAAUAUAAAACCUCAUAGUAAGGGAGAGAAAAGUAAAAAUAAUAAGUAUAGAUCCUACUGCACAUUACGUGGUUUGACUUUCAUUAGUAGAAUAAUAUAUUUAUUGGCAAUGAUUGGCAUGUCACUUCUCACAAAAUUAAGGUUUGGAGUCAUGUUUUUAUUGGAAUUGUGAAACUUUACACACAUGAGUUACUUGUACUUUUUACUCCAUUCUAGUCUAAAUUGAGUAUGUGGGGAGGUAUGCUACUUGUUAAUUUUACUUUUGUAUGCUAUCAACUACUUUGAGUUAUUAUGUGUUAUUUGCUCAGCUUGUUCUUAAUAUGAUUCCCUUUAGCAUUUGUGACAAAAAGGAGGAGAGAAAAUGUGUAAUUGAGGGAGAGAAAAACAUGAGCAUACACAUAGGGUGAAGAGCGACCGCAUUUGCAUGUGCACUGAUUUCACUCCUUGACAUUAUUGCAUUUUGUAUUGCUAUGUCUAGGAAUCGUUGGGGAGAAAUAUAGAUACACUGAAUUUACUACAUUACAUUUAUGAGAUUUUGCAGUAAGGGAGAGCAUUGCAAUGCGUUCAUAAUAUAUCCAUUGCUGUUUGAGUUUUGAUGUUUAGUGAUAAUGCUUUGGUUGGUGUUUUGAUUGACAUUAAUGUCACGUCUCAAACUAGCAUGUUGAUAUGUGGUUAAGUGCUGCCAUGUUUAUAUUUCCUGUAUCACGUGAUUUUACAUUGGGUAUAUGAAUUUGUGGAUUUCAGGAAACACGCACAAGAAGGAAUGCAAGACUCGGUUAUUCGAAUUACUGGAUAAUAAAGUGUAUCGAGUCCUAGCUUAUUUUUCAUAUGGUCCUGACUUCAUUUAUGGUUUUGUCAUAGAAUGUCAAAGUAGGAGUUUGUUAGGUCCGAAAAUUUGUAAUUGGCAAUUCUGUAAGACAAAACGGUCUUAAUUGUAAAAUUGUAAAAGACAUGGACUCAAUUGAACAAUGUUGUAAAAGUCAGGGACUUAGGGUGCAAUUUUAUAAAGUUGGUCAG
rnacentral:lncRNA from 1 species